CUGAGUAAACAGCUCAGCUUGUAGAGUGCUUGCCUUCUAAGCAUGAGGCCCUGGGGUCAAUCCCCAGUAGAGAGA
rnacentral:tRNA from 1 species